AGUGAACGCUGGCGGUAGGCCUAACACAUGCAAGUCGAACGGCAGCACAGUAAGAGCUUGCUCUUACGGGUGGCGAGUGGCGGACGGGUGAGGAAUACAUCGGAAUCUACUUUUUCGGGGGGGAUAACGUAGGGAAACUUACGCUAAUACCGCAUACGACCUACGGGGGAAAGCAGGGGGUCUUCGGACCUUGCGCGAUUGAAUGAGCCGAUGUCGGAUUAGCUAGUUGGCGGGGUAAAGGCCCACCAAGGCGACGAUCCGUAGCUGGUCUGAGAGGAUGAUCAGCCACACUGGAACUGAGACACGGUCCAGACUCCUACGGGAGGCAGCAGUGGGGAAUAUUGGACAAUGGGCGCAAGCCUGAUCCAGCCAUACCGCGUGGGUGAAGAAGGCCUUCGGGUUGUAAAGCCCUUUUGUUGGGAAAGAAAAGCAGCAGGUUAAUACCCCGCUGUUCUGACGGUACCCAAAGAAUAAGCACCGGCUAACUUCGUG
rnacentral:rRNA from 1 species